rnacentral:rRNA from 1 species
GACGAACGCUGGCGGCGUGCCUAAUACAUGCAAGUCGAGCGAAUCACUGGGAGCUUGCUCCCGGUGGUUAGCGGCGGACGGGUGAGUAACACGUGGGCAACCUGCCUGUAAGACUGGGACAACACAGGGAAACCGGUGCUAAUACCGGAGAAUCCUUUUCCUCUCAUGAGGAAAAGCUGAAAGUCGGUUUCGGCUGACACUUACAGAUGGGCCCGCGGCGCAUUAUCUAGUUGGUGAGGUAACGGCUCACCAAGGCGACGAUGCGUAGCCGACCUGAGAGGGUGAUCGGCCACACUGGGACUGAGACACGGCCCAGACUCCUACGGGAGGCAGCAGUAGGGAAUCUUCCACAAUGGACGAAAGUCUGAUGGAGCAACGCCGCGUGAGCGAUGAAGGCCUUCGGGUCGUAAAGCUCUGUUGUUAGGGAAGAACAAGUACCGGAGUAACUACCGGUACCUUGACGGUACCUAACCAGAAAGCCACGGCUAACUACGUGCCAGCCGCCGCAGUAACAC